GACGAACGCUGGCGGCGUGCCUAAUACAUGCAAGUAGAACGCUGAAGCUUGGUGCUUGCACCGAGCGGGUGAGUUGCGAACGGGUGAGUAACGCGUAGGUAACCUGCCUGGUAGCGGGGGAUAACUAUUGGAAACGAUAGCUAAUACCGCAUAAUAGUAGAUGUUGCAUGACAUUUGCUUAAAAGGUGCAAUUGCAUCACUACCAGAUGGACCUGCGUUGUAUUAGCUAGUUGGUGAGGUAACGGCCCACCAAGGCAACGAUACAUAGCCGACCGGGGAGGUGGACCGCCAACACUGGACUGGGAAACGGCCCAGGCCUCCUCCGGGAGGCAGAGGAGGGAAUCAUCGGAAAUGGACGGAAAGCUUACCGAGGCACGCCGCGGGAGUGAAGAAGGUCUUCGGAUCGUAAAGCUCUGUUGUAAGAGAAGAACGAGUGUGAGAGUGGAAAGUUCACGCUGUGACGGUAUCUAACCAGAAAGGAACGGCUAACUACGUG
rnacentral:rRNA from 1 species